CCACGAACGGAACCUGCGCACGGAGGCGGUAGCGCGGGGUGGCAGCCGGCAAUGAGGCGGCCGCGCUACGUGACGAGCUACGGGUCCCCCUUUGUGAUGUUUUGGCAUCGCUCCUUCAUCGCACAUCCUCAGGUACGUCAAUUCACUUCCUUCCCUUCCCUUCGUCCCUCGGUCCCACGCUCGUGGCGCUGAAGUGGUGGCAACAGGCGAUGGCGGUGGUGUCGCUGAUGGCGGCGAGGACAGCAUGUGGCAGCUCCCGAAGCAUGAACACGACCGCACCUCGGGCCUGCCGUCUGCCAAGAUAUGGCUCUGGCCGAUUGACAAUGGAGGUUUGGGAUCCUUCCUCUCAGCACCCACUCCUGGAAGAAUCAGCGGUGCGCCACGCCGAUUGAACCCCGUCGAGAUCAC